CCCUAUAUAUAAUCUGCAAUUUGUUUUCCAGGAUCUUUUCGGAAAUUUGAUUAUGGUACUAAAACAAACUUAAACCUCUAUGGAUCUACACAACCGCCUAAAUAUACUCUUGAAAGAGUAAAGGUACCUGUGGCGAUCUUUUACAGUGAAAAUGACUUUAUUACUCAUCGCACCGAUGUUCAAAAACUGGUGGAUAAUUUACCAAAUGUUACGCACACCGAAAAAAUAGCGCAUAAAACAUUCAAUCAUAUCGAUUAUCUCUGGGGCCGCGACGCAAAGACAAUUUUGUAUAAUAGAAUCCCGACUAUAUUGAAAAAUUUUGAUACAUAGCGAUAAUAUUUUACCAGACAAAUUGUCUUGUAUCAAUUUUGUAUCCAUAUGCAACAAUCAACUCAGGAAUAUCGUUUACUAUUAGGUUUUAUUUUAUGUAUGAAUAGAAAAAUCAGUAUACGUAGAAAAAUUAUGACUAUCUGCGAAAAUAGAUGCUGUUUUUGCAACAGUAUCUGUCUAGCAAUUAUUUAUACAUCUAUAUAUUUAAAUAUAUAAAAAAUAAAGUAUGUUUAAAAGAAUGCAUUUAGUAGUUUAUAAACUACUAAAUGGAGGCAGAUAGAAUAACUUAUUUUUAUAUGCUCAAAGAGUAAAAGGUGGAUCCGAUAGAUAUGUACAAAAUUAAUGUACAAAAAAACAUAUAUUUUAAUAAACUAAUUUAAAUAACUUUGCGAUCUGCUCUGUUGACAAGAAAUUUUAAAAUUUAAUAGGUUAUUUUGAGACAUGCUGGAUGCGUUAAAAAAUACUCGAAAAACCGAGAGAGAAAAACAUAUUAUAUCUCUAACAUUGACAAACAUGUAAAAAAAGAUCUCAUAAAUUUCCAAUAAACAAAACUUUUGCAACGUC